GGAAUCAAUUCAACAAGAAGAGCUAACUAUCCUAAAUAUGUAUGCACCCAAUACAGGAGAACCCAGAUUCACAAAACAAGUUCUUAGAGACCUACAAAGAGACUCAGGCUACCACACAACAAUAGUGGGAGACAUUAACACCCCAUUGUCAAUAUUGGAUCAUCUAGGCAGAAAAUUGACCAGAAAGGACUUGAACACAGCUCUGGAUCAAGUGAAUCUCAUAGAUAUCUACAGAACUCUCCAACACGAAACAACAGACUAUAUAUUAUUCUUAGUGGCAUAUGACACUCUAAAAUUGAUCACAAAAUUAGAAUUAAAACACUCCUCAGCAAAUGCAAAAUAACUGAAAUCAUAACAAUCUCUCAGACCACAGUGCAAUCAAAUUAGAACUCAAGAUUAAGAAACUCACUCAAAACCACACAACUACAUGGAUAUUGAACAACGUGCUCCUGAGUGACUUCUGGGUAAAUAAUAAAAUUAAGGCAGAAAUCAAGAAGCUCUUUGAAACCAAUGAGAACAAAGAGACAAUGUACCAGAAUCUCUGGGAGGCAACUAAAGCAGUGUUAAGAGUUUCUCCACAGACACUACCCAAAGCAGUGCUUCACUACAGUGGCAGACAGACCUGAAAAUUUUCAUCUGAAGCAGCAGAGUGAACUGCAGAGGCAGGUCACCAACCAGUGUGGAGGCUAAAAGCGGGCCUCUUUGGGGAUUCCAGGUGGAAGUGUUGGACAUCUGUAGUAUUCCUGGUCUCGAAUCAUCCUGAUAUUCUUCAUUUUGUUAUUCACAUUGGACUAGG
rnacentral:lncRNA from 1 species